AACAUUGUUCCAAACAACAGUGCAAUUACAAUGGUGUAGAAGUAUUUGACAGCAGUAUAUGGAGGGUUUCUCCAGUAGGACAGACUUUGCUUCCAUAGGCAAGCCAAACAUUGUGUGAUGAAAGUUUGAGAGUAUUCUGUUGGAAAGGAUAGGUCACUUGAACCAUCAGGAGAAUCAAUUUCCGCAGGCAAUCGGAGCCAUGCAGAGAAUGCAAGAGACUCGUAGACAGUAACAUUUGGUGAAUGGAUGUCAUUCUGCUCACAGUAUCCUGAUACACGAGCAAAAGUUUCUUGCUUCUUUGGAUAGCCAGAGAUGGUAAUGUUACCCUCUAUGUAUCCACUGGUCUUCCUCCCAGCCAACACAUCCAUCAAUGUUGUUUUUCCAGCACCACUGACACCCAUAAGAGCUGUAAGUACUCCUGGCCUAAAUGAACCACUGAUGCCCUUCAAUAGCUCCAACCGGCUCUCUGUCACACCUUGUGCUUUAAUUACCUACAAGUUUCAUUGGAUAUUAAAGCCAGUUAGAGUUGCUCUUAAGUAUUAUAGAUAUAGGAGAAUCUUCAUACUGAGCAUGCACAUUUCAGAUAUAUUUAUAUUUCAGUAAUUCUCUACCAAAUACCUCUGGCAUGUCAACACUGUAUCUUAUAUCUUCAAACGUGAUGGAGAGAGGUACAAAAGGGAGAACCAUUCCUUUCUUGCCUGGACUAGAAUUCACUGUUGCAUGGUUGGAAAUUGCUUCAUCAUUACUAUCAUCCGCAGUGUCUGGUAGGCAUAUCACAUAUCCGAGGUUGUUGUUAGAUGGAAACUCAUUAUGUUAAAUCAUAUUUAGACAGCUAAAUACAAAAGCGAACAGUACUUGUGUUGGUGGUAAUUCGUCCUCUCGAGGAUGCUUCUAUAACAUCACCGGUCAGAUUAGCUUGUUUUAUCUUCAACGUCUCCUCAGAUAUUGUUGGCUGAUUGCUGUCAAAUGCUGCAGUGAAAGAAUGCAUAAAAAUGAGAAAUUAUAAAAAUGAGAAUUUAUAAGCUCUGGCAUUCCAAAUAUAAUUUAUUUCUGACUCACGAUUGAGGAAUGUGAGGCAGAUUGUGUAGAGGAUAUUGAAUAGCAGGACGUAUCCGAGCAAUGCACCAACACCAAUCCAAUACCAUUUGGCCUCAGGGAAAACUCCACGGGAUUCAAGAACUAGUUUUCCAAGUGGCUCCCUGAAACCAGGGCAGCAGGGUGGCUCCUGCUCUUGUCAAAUGGGAUUGCCAACUCACUUCUUAUUGCCUGACCAACAUGGAAAGACUGAAAUGCCUCUGCAAACUCCUUAACAGGAACAUAUCGGUUGUAACAAAGCAAUGACUGCUGUUCCACCAACAAUGUGGAUGGUCUGCCGGAUGGAGUCCACAAUAUUGUAUGUUGUGGAGCUGUCAAGUCCAGUUGAUAUCUCAUCCAUGAAAAGGGCUCGUCCUGGGGUGACAAUCAUCUCAGCUGCAACACCAAUUUCAGGGUCCGGAGAAAUUGACUGUCUCACGAACCGUCAAUUCACCCAUAUGUAGAUCAUGUUGACUAACAUAAGCUGCUGAUCUCCGGGGCUCGAAUUCAUCCAUGGUAUGGCCAUUGUAUGUUAUUUGUCCAGAUACCUUGUGCGGUUGCAAUGUUACAUUUAGUACUAGUACUUCCAAGGGUAUGAUAAACUGACAAAGCAAUGUACUCAAGUAAAUAAAAAGAAUAAUUGAGUACCUUUAGACCUGAAGGGACAUUUCCAGCCAAGGCCAAAAGAAGUGUGGUUUUUCCAGCGCCAGGAGGACCCAAAAGCAAGGUCAUUCUGAAAACAGAGAGCCCUAUGUUUGGAGUACCAAUCAGGCAAGUCUGCUGUUUAUCAAGAUGUCCAAGAGAAGUCGUGUUACCAACUCCAACCAGAGAACCUAAUCUCGUUGCUCUUCAGGAUCACCGGUUUGACUGUCUUAACAGUGGCCCAGAAUUUUGCUGCACUACAGGAAGCUCUCUAGCUAACACGGGCGAUUGUCGUAAUCAAAAUUAAUGACAAGCACUGAAUUUGUUUUUGCCAACUAAGUUUCACAAAACCACAGAUAUAUUGACUAAAUUAACACAAAACUACAGAUUGAUACAUCACUUUAAUUCUGUAGUUUUAUGAUAUAUCACCUUAAAUCUGUAGUUUUGUGAUAAUUUGAACAAAGUAUUUGUAGUUUUGUGAAAUUUACUAAUUUUCUCCUAUCGGUGGAUGUACCAGUUUGAGUUACGUUUCUAUUAUUGCAAUAGAAAGAAAACUCUGACUAGAAGUACCCUCUCUGAAAAUAGUCAACGAGACCAAUUUAUUUUGA